rnacentral:tRNA from 1 species
GUAUAAAAAGCGAAGAUUUGCGUUCGGCUUCGGAUCGAAUUUUGGGGGUAGGUCCCUCUUUAUACU